ACGCUUUUGCGGUUCGUAACCCUGAGGGCCGGGUUUUCCCGCGCAUGCGUGCGAUGUGCCGCCCACCAUCCUUGUGACGACGUCGGCACGUUGCCGGUGUGACA